AUAAUUGCCCACAGCGAAUCACAAUUUUAAUAUUUAAUCUAAUCUAAUCUAAUCUAAUAUUUACUUUUGAUUUGCUCCGAUUUAACUAUUGUGUUAUAAAGGGAAUAGUCCACAUUUAUAAAGUGCCCACGCCACCAUUGAAAAAGUUAAUUUUGAAUCUAAAUUCGAUUUUAUUUGUAACAAUUUUGUAUUAAACUAUUAAUUUGUUCAUGAUAGUUUGUAAAAGAAGUUUGUAUUCCUUGCAUGUUACGUUACUUACUAAUUUAAUGUAUGUGACUUUUGUAAUAGAUAUUAAUGUAAGAUAUAUUUCGAACUUUACUUUUAUUUGAAUUUUUUAUUUUAAUAUGAUUAACUCAAAAUUAAAAAAAAAAUGUAUUAGUUAUUCGGGGAUCGGGGAUCCCCUGUUAUUAUUCGGGGAGGAGAUGGAGAUUCUCUCAAGUAAUUCUGACGGAGACGGUGAGGGGACGGGGACAUACGCAAAAUAUCGGGGAUGGGUACGGGGAGAUCGGUCCCCUCCCCUCCCCAUUGCCAUCCCUGAUCAUAACUCAUGUAGUUGAUUUUAUUAUUAUUGAAUUUAGUCUGUUAAAUCUAUUAAAAUAACCUCCAUCAAAUUAUAAACCCAUAAAACUUCAAUCUUUUUCAUACUGUCAUUAUGUAAUUUUGUUUUUAUGAGGUUUAGCUCCGACAAAUCAUUUUUCUGAAUCCGCUGUUGCUGUUUGUUAUGCUAUUGUGGGCUGCUCUCUUUUCUCAUGUAUGGUUUUCUGUUUGCUUAGCAUUCUUUAUUUGCUUGGUGUCGUCAGGAACUCAGGAUCCUUUACUUCUGGCUUUAUGGUGCGGCAUUGUUUGGGACUGUACUGCCUUUUGCUUUGCGGUGGUUGGUCUUUCGUUGGACUAUUUGACAGCAUGGUUUGGGUUUUACGUUUUAAAUUUCAAAAGUCUAUUUAUAUAUUUUCAUUAUUUUGGUUAUCUCUUUGUUUGUUGUUUCUUUUAAUUGCUCCUCGGCCUGUCUCUAGUUAUAUGCUUCUUUUGAGAUUUGUGUCCUUCUGGUUCUGCCAUUUUCUAUAACUUUUUCUUAUAAAAUUCCACCAAAUUUCAUUUUUAAAAAUACUAAGA
rnacentral:lncRNA from 1 species